rnacentral:rRNA from 1 species
AGGACGAACGCUGGCGGCGUGCUUAACACAUGCAAGUCGAGCGGUAAGGCCUUUCGGGGGUACACGAGCGGCGAACGGGUGAGUAACACGUGGGUGAUCUGCCCUGCACUUCGGGAUAAGCCUGGGAAACUGGGUCUAAUACCGGAUAUGACCUCCUAUCGCAUGGUGGGUGGUGGAAAGAUUUAUCGGUGCAGGAUGGGCCCGCGGCCUAUCAGCUUGUUGGUGGGGUAAUGGCCUACCAAGGCGACGACGGGUAGCCGACCUGAGAGGGUGACCGGCCACACUGGGACUGAGACACGGCCCAGACUCCUACGGGAGCAGCAGUGGGAAUAUUGCACAAUGGGCGAAAGCCUGAUGCAGCGACGCCGCGUGAGGAUGACGGCCUUCGGGUUGUAACCUCUUUCAGUCGAGGACGAAGCGUCAAGUGACGUACGUGACGGAAGAAGACCACCGG